GGGUUGUGAGGUUAAGCGACUAAGCGUACACGGUGGAUGCCCUGGCAGUCAGAGGCGAUGAAGGGCGUGCUAAUCUGCGAUAAGCGCCGGUAAGGUGAUAUGAACCGUUAUAACCGGCGAUACCCGAAUGGGGAAACCCAGUGUGACUCGUCACACUAUCAUUAACUGAAUCCAUAGGUUAAUGAGGCGAACCGGGGGAACUGAAACAUCUAAGUACCCCGAGGAAAAGAAAUCAACCGAGAUUCCCCCAGUAGCGGCGAGCGAACGGGGAGGAGCCCAGAGCCUGAAUCAGCAUGUGUGUUAGUGGAAGCGUCUGGAAAGGCGCGCGAUACAGGGUGACAGCCCCGUACACAAAAGCGCAUGUGCUGUGAGCUCGAUGAGUAGGGCGGGACACGUGGUAUCCUGUCUGAAUAUGGGGGGACCAUCCUCCAAGGCUAAAUACUCCUGACUGACCGAUAGUGAACCAGUACCGUGAGGGAAAGGCGAAAAGAACCCCGGCGAGGGGAGUGAAAAAGAACCUGAAACCGUGUACGUACAAGCAGUGGGAGCCCCACCACUAAGCCAGUGGUGAACUCCACAUACGCAUCCUUUGCUGAGGAUACGGUUAACGGAGCGAAAGCGACGUUCAACCUCAAAAGAAGCAGAGGGGGCUUAGUGGUGGGGUGACUGCGUACCUUUUGUAUAAUGGGUCAGCGACUUAUAUUCUGUAGCAAGGUUAACCGUAUAGGGGAGCCGUAGGGAAACCGAGUCUUAACCGGGCGUUAAGUUGCAGGGUAUAGACCCGAAACCCGGUGAUCUAGCCAUGGGCAGGUUGAAGGUUGGGUAACACUAACUGGAGGACCGAACCGACUAAUGUUGAAAAAUUAGCGGAUGACCUGUGGCUGGGGGUGAAAGGCCAAUCAAACCGGGAGAUAGCUGGUUCUCCCCGAAAGCUAUUUAGGUAGCGCCUCGUGAAUUCAUCUCCGGGGGUAGAGCACUGUUUCGGCUAGGGGGCCAUCCCGGCUUACCAACCCGAUGCAAACUGCGAAUACCGGAGAAUGUUAUCACGGGAGACACACGGCGGGUGCUAACGUCCGUCGUGAAGAGGGAAACAACCCAGACCGCCAGCUAAGGUCCCAAAGUCAUGGUUAAGUGGGAAACGAUGUGGGAAGGCCCAGACAGCCAGGAUGUUGGCUUAGAAGCAGCCAUCAUUUAAAGAAAGCGUAAUAGCUCACUGGUCGAGUCGGCCUGCGCGGAAGAUGUAACGGGGCUAAACCAUGCACCGAAGCUGCGGCAGCGACGUUUAUGCGUUGUUGGGUAGGGGAGCGUUCUGUAAGCCUGCGAAGGUGGCCUGUGAGGGUUGCUGGAGGUAUCAGAAGUGCGAAUGCUGACAUAAGUAACGAUAAAGCGGGUGAAAAGCCCGCUCGCCGGAAGACCAAGGGUUCCUGUCCAACGUUAAUCGGGGCAGGGUGAGUCGACCCCUAAGGCGAGGCCGAAAGGCGUAGUCGAUGGGAAACGGGUUAAUAUUCCCGUACUUGGUGUUACUGCGAAGGGGGGACGGAGAAGGCUAUGUUGGCCGGGCGACGGUUGUCCCGGUUUAAGCGUGUAGGUGUGUGUUCCAGGUAAAUCCGGUUCACUUUAACACUGAGGCGUGAUGACGAGGCACUACGGUGCUGAAGCAACAAAUGCCCUGCUUCCAGGAAAAGCCUCUAAGCAUCAGGUAACACGAAAUCGUACCCCAAACCGACACAGGUGGUCAGGUAGAGAAUACCAAGGCGCUUGAGAGAACUCGGGUGAAGGAACUAGGCAAAAUGGUGCCGUAACUUCGGGAGAAGGCACGCUGACACGUAGGUGAAGUGAUUUACUCAUGGAGCUGAAGUCAGUCGAAGAUACCAGCUGGCUGCAACUGUUUAUUAAAAACACAGCACUGUGCAAACACGAAAGUGGACGUAUACGGUGUGACGCCUGCCCGGUGCCGGAAGGUUAAUUGAUGGGGUCAGCGCAAGCGAAGCUCCUGAUCGAAGCCCCGGUAAACGGCGGCCGUAACUAUAACGGUCCUAAGGUAGCGAAAUUCCUUGUCGGGUAAGUUCCGACCUGCACGAAUGGCGUAAUGAUGGCCAGGCUGUCUCCACCCGAGACUCAGUGAAAUUGAACUCGCUGUGAAGAUGCAGUGUACCCGCGGCAAGACGGAAAGACCCCGUGAACCUUUACUAUAGCUUGACACUGAACAUUGAGCCUUGAUGUGUAGGAUAGGUGGGAGGCUUUGAAGUGUGGACGCCAGUCUGCAUGGAGCCGACCUUGAAAUACCACCCUUUAAUGUUUGAUGUUCUAACGUGGACCCGUUACCCGGGUUGCGGACAGUGUCUGGUGGGUAGUUUGACUGGGGCGGUCUCCUCCUAAAGAGUAACGGAGGAGCACGAAGGUUGGCUAAUCCUGGUCGGACAUCAGGAGGUUAGUGCAAUGGCAUAAGCCAGCUUGACUGCGAGCGUGACGGCGCGAGCAGGUGCGAAAGCAGGUCAUAGUGAUCCGGUGGUUCUGAAUGGAAGGGCCAUCGCUCAACGGAUAAAAGGUACUCCGGGGAUAACAGGCUGAUACCGCCCAAGAGUUCAUAUCGACGGCGGUGUUUGGCACCUCGAUGUCGGCUCAUCACAUCCUGGGGCUGAAGUAGGUCCCAAGGGUAUGGCUGUUCGCCAUUUAAAGUGGUACGCGAGCUGGGUUUAGAACGUCGUGAGACAGUUCGGUCCCUAUCUGCCGUGGGCGCUGGAGAACUGAGGGGGGCUGCUCCUAGUACGAGAGGACCGGAGUGGACGCAUCACUGGUGUUCGGGUUGUCAUGCCAAUGGCACUGCCCGGUAGCUAAAUGCGGAAGAGAUAAGUGCUGAAAGCAUCUAAGCACGAAACUUGCCCCGAGAUGAGUUCUCCCUGAGACUUUAGGUCUCCUGAAGGAACGUUGAAGACGACGACGUUGAUAGGCCGGGUGUGUAAGCGCAGCGAUGCGUUGAGCUAACCGGUACUAAUGAACCGUGAGGCUUAACCUUACAACGCCGAAG
rnacentral:rRNA from 3 species